GUGCAGGCGAAGAAUGUCAGUCCCUCUGAUUGCUGGCCGCCGGGCCCAACAGGGCGCGGGAAGGCCCGGGACAGAGCCAGGGAUCCCAGGGAUCUGGGUUUCAGGUCAUUCUCUACCAAGGCCAAGAGCAUGCCAGUGACCGGAGGACCUCAGCCUCUCUGUCCAUAAAGUAGGUCCCUGGGGUCCUGUGGCCAGGCAUGGACGAGGGGCAGGGAGUGAGGAGGCAGUAACCCUGCCAGAGGCUGCCAGAGGCUUUGCCGCUCAGGUGUCAGCGUGUGAAGGCACGGUGGCCUCCGCACAGGGACGCCCUGCCAGACUGCCCGUCCUGCAAAGGUGGUGUCCGGUGAGGUCUGCCACAGACCCGCGCGCCCUUCUGUGUUCUGGUCAGCAGCGGUCUCGGGCGGUGCUGUGAGCAGGGGAGCCUGCCAGUCAGCGGCUCCCACAGCAGUGUGUGUAGUCCUGACUCGUACACCGUCCCAGGCUGGGCGGGCUGCGAAGAGGCCAGGCCAGGAGAAGGAGCCCCUCUCCGUGCUGAGAGACAUGCCCGGGCCAUGCGUUGCAAGGCCAGGAGGCCAAGGCACCCGGUCAGCAGGAGAGAUGCUGAGCCAGCUCUGGGCGGCCUGGAGCAACCAGGGGAGGCUUCCAGGAAGAGGCAGGGGACCAUGGACAGGACUGGGAGAGUCACCAGUGGAAGGAGGUGGCUCUGGAAGAAGGAAAGACUUGAGGCUCUGCAGGGGACUCGAGGAGUGAGGGCCCUGGUCCUCCUCUCAGUAGGACAGGCCAGAAGUCCUGGCUCCAGCAUGUGAGAGGCGCUCCCCUCUUGCCCUCAUGUUGGGGCCUGUCCAGCAAAGUGCCCGACUCUGCAGACCCCAGGGCUGCCUGUGCUCCAGGUGUGAGCCUGGUGAAGACUGGAGGUGGGAGGUCUAUG
rnacentral:lncRNA from 1 species